GUUUUGCCUCACUUGGUGGCACGGCCUGCAUCAUGGCUCCUGUGCCCUGUGGGGAACCGGAGGAGCCAAUUCGUCAAUCGUUCAGCCGAUGUGCAUCAGGUACACAUGGAUGGAACCGAAUCGGGUUGGUGCCUACACGAUAGAUCAAGCAUGUGCGUGGAGAAAACCGAUCGUCAGGAGUUCCACGGAGCCUAUACGAACGCACGGCACGGCACGAGGGUCUUCUCUGCGGCGCUCAAAUAGAGAGAUCGUGGACGAGGAUGGGCGCAAAUUUACUGCACAAGCACAACCAGGAUAGUCCAAACCUUUGGGAAUUGUGAUGGUCACAGGUCCGUUAUUCCCCUAUAAAACAGGCAUAGUUCGAAUAC